AACCACGGACGCCUCCUCCUACCCAAACUAUCCCGCCUUGUGCCAGUUAUCCAUACACACCUCCUCCUCCAGCCCCACGCCCCGCCACCGCCGGCCCUCCGCCCUCGACGCCUCCUCCUCCCGCCCCACGCCCAGCCACCGCUGGGGAGCGGGUGCCGCCACUGCGCCCCGCUGGCCCUCCUCUCCCCCCGCCAUUGUCGGGGAGCGGGCACCACGCCACCGCUGGGGAGCGGGUGCCGCCGGUCUGCUGCUGCUUCCACCCAAUCCUUCCUCCUCUUUGUAUACGCCAAGAAUUCGAUUACCAUGGAUCAACACGUUCGUGCGGCUGUUUAUUCACUCAAGGGGCAGACAGAGCAGGGCGGAGUGGCUCUCGCUCCAGGGGCGGUUUUCGCGGCGAGGUGGCCAGUGCCAAGGAGAGCGAGCAGCAGAGCGUCCUAGAGACGUACAAUCCUGUCAGCAGGGGGAUCUAUGACGUCCUCAUUGUUCUUGGUGCUUCUCUGGCGCUCAGAUUGGUGUCGCGUGCUGUGCUACAUCGUUGGCCAGAAAAACAAGUCUGGUCCAUCCGGAGAGCAGCAUAAGUUAUUGGUCUAAACUGUUUGGGAUUCAGCAAAGGGAUAGCUGCAUACUGGCUGGUACAGAACAUUUGGGGACACUUGCAAUCCCUUAUCGGUACUUCGUUUUCGUUUGACGCAGCCAUAUUCGAAAAUAUAAUUGUUAUGUCCUGUUGUGUCAUGGUGGUUUGUGUUUAACCAGAAUUCAGAAUUAACUCAAGUUGACAAGUGCGAGUGCCUGCGAUAUUCUCAGGUUGCAGCUUCUCGAAUGCUGAAUGUUUAGUCUCUUCAGACCCUAGAUUUCCACCACUUGGACAGAGUCGAGCCAGCAUCCGUCACUCACGACAAUGACGGCCACCUCGGUCCUCUCCCCCUCCUCUUUUGGCUGCUGGUAAUUUUGCCGUUGCUUCCUGGCUUCAAUUACCAGUUUAAAUAUGCAAAUAUUCACCUCCUUGUGCAAUUCAGGUCCGUUUAAAUUAUACUGCCAUGGUUUAAAAUCUGGAUAAAAUUACUAUAGCAGUACUGUGAUUCGCUCUGUGACUUCUCUUUCGCACUUGGAACAACAGAAUAGAAAUUGGUUGCUGAGGUAAGGUAAUCAAGAAAAAUCCCCAUUGUUUUUUUUUCUGAUUGUGGUUAUAGUCUAUUUUAAGCCCACAUAAUUUUCUGUUGUUGUGAAUUGUAUUCACCUGCAUGUAGAAAUGGUAAGAUAAAAUUGUUUCACAUUUGAGUAUAUAAUAAAGUUCAGGAUAUUGGGAAGCUUUCUCACAUCAUGCAAGGAUAUAAAACCUAGAAAACUUCAAACAAUAGUGAAGCCAUCACACAACGUCUCCUAGGAGCAUCUCAAUUGUCCUUCGAUAAACUUAAUAUAAGCAGGUUAACUGGAGUGAAUUUUCUUCUCUUUGCUUUGCAUCACUUUCAUGAAGUCUUUGGUACCCUAAAUCUUUACAAGGAAGCUAGGCCCGUGUAUUUUUGUAAUGAUAUUUAGUUCUAUAGGCAACCUGCUUGCAUAUUAUAUUAUAACCUCUUUUUAACUUGCCUUUAAUAACAGACAUGAUGGUACACAAAUUAGUUUUAGGAUGAUACUACUAAGAUGAAUCUUACCAGAUGUACCAUGGAAACAAAUAAUCAUUCACGAGAGUGCACCAAGAACAAUUGUUUUGGACUUUUAUGAAGUUAAAUUCUGUGACUUUGUACAUAAAUGCUUAGGUACAUUACAACAUAUAAUUUCAUAAGUACAAUUUUUAAACGCCAAGUAGAAAUUCAUUUGUACUUUUUUGCCUUUUAUGAUUGAAUAUUUUUCUAUUUAUACAUGAAUUUUCACGUGCAAGCUUACUAAUUUGCUUAAGUUCAGCAAGUGUUGGUCGACAGGCUAUGUUCUGACGUUGUAUGUUCAUGAUUUAUAAUCAUGAAAGAUUAGAUGAAGCAACUUGGGGCAAGCUUAAAAUCAUAUCUAAUAGAUAUCUUUUCUUGUUACAUCCGUAGCUAGAUUUUCAAGUUGUUAGCCAUACAAAAAGUAAGCUAGAUUUUCAAGCUACUUGUGUGUAGUACUCUGGUUUUCAGGUUUAAUUCUUCUUACAUGUAUCUGUUGUUGUAUUUAAAAAAGCAUCCAGAUCAAUGACUUCAUAUGAUAUUUUCCUGCAUUUUUGUUUAUGUACAAAAAGGGAAAUUUUCCUACAACUUCAACCACGUAAUCCGUAGUUUGUUGGUUUGUUUCUAAUAAUAUGCGUGAUCUUUUUCCUUUGAAGUUCGAACCUUUUGAUUUUAGGGAUGUCAUUUAUAAAGAUAUGGGAGAUAUUUUCAGUUCUUUGGCACUUCUUGCUUCUGGAAACUACGCACAGGUGGUGACGAGCAGAUGAAUGGUGACAGUAAGAAGAGGAGGAUAUGGGGACAUUCGACGGUGGCGGCGGCCGAUAUAAUCGUGCCUAUCAUCCUCAAGUUCUCCACCUAGAAGGGCGCCGUUAUCAGUGGGAGCAGAGCAGUCGGCGGGUUCCUGGCUUACCUGCCUCACAACAAGGCGGGCACGGCUGGGCUAGGCAGCCUGGACAUCCAGGAUUCACAAGUCGUGGUCCACUCCUGCUCGGAACGCUACAUGUUGGCAUUAUUAUAAACUCCCCCCUCCCUCACACACACACACACACAAGACAACCCUCCAACAAAUCAGUGGGUCGAUCUUGUGUGAAAAUUCCUUCAGGGAUAAUACAAAUUUCUGGUUAUUGUGACAGCUAAAGGUUUACACUGGUCAUUACGAAAAUAUUGUCUGCUCGAGUUGGUGAAAUGAAGGUUGUGGAUUAAGUGGAAUUGUAAUGUACACAUUAUUGGUUGCACCUAUAACAUUUUUGGUAAAUUGAUAUUACAACGAGCAACAAUUUUCAGAGCAAAGAAUAUUAUAUGUUCUAGCAACGGUUUACAAAUCCCUUUUUGUAGAGGAUACUUUGCUUUAUUCAAUGCAGGAAAUAUUUUAGUCCUUACUAGCUUCGUACUGUUGUAAGCACACUGUUCUUUUUGUUCAGUCCAAAGGUUGGUGAACCACAUGUUAAACUUCCAUUGGAAGCCGUAUUACAAAUACCUAUCGUGCAACCAGUUGUCGUACUUUCUUCUUCACUAAUAUUAUUUUAUGAAUUUUUCUAAACCUGGAAGAAGCUUCCGCUAUGAUGUUGUUUGAACCUGAAAAAAGCUUGUACUGCAUUGAUAACUGAACCUGAAAAUUGCUGCAUCCUAUAUACAUUGGUAGAGUAAAAAAUAACUUGAUUUAUGUAGGACUUGUUUUGGAUUAAGUGGAUAGGUGAUGCACUAUUCUUGAUUGCAGCUGGUGCUUUUUUGGUAAUUUGAUAACACCACGAGCAGCAAUCGAGUUUGAAAGCCAGAAAACACACAAAAGAUGUAAAUGGGAGUACUGCCAGUUUAGGAGCCAAGUAACCAUUACUAGAGAAACGUUGGAGGUAGAAUCAGCUUCAAGCUCGAGUACCCAAUGGUAGAGAAGUAGAAAGGAGGCACAAGAUGGAACUAUGAACUCCGAUAGUAACAUUUUUAUUUCACCAAGUUAGGUUAAUGAUGUUCAGCUUAAUGGACAACUCUACAGACACUUAGUAGAACACAAGCUUUUGUUUUUGACUUCAAUAUAAGGUGCCCUAUGUACUAUUUUUAAGGUGUCAUGCUUCCCAAGAGAAUAUAUCUACAUGUAAAGAACUAGCUAAAUGAACUGGCUCAUCAAUUUCAAUCUAAAUGAACUAGCUCAUAAGCAUUCUUUGAUUUUGCUUCAUUAGUUUUGUUGUAGCAUAGUUCCAUUAAUAUUUGUGAUACUUAUUUUCUGUAUUAUUUACAAUUUUCAUUUAGCAAAGUGAUGUCCCUCUUGAAUAAUCAUAUGCUGCUAUCAGUUCAGACAUUGCACUUAGCAAAUGUAAUCUUUUAUGAGAUUAGAUGUGAUUUUCUGUUUCCUUAUACCGAUUCUAACAAUAAUAGGAUAUUGCAUACAAUAUUCUAAUGUUAAGCUAUUGUAAGUACUCACUAUGGUUUCAGCAUGAUGCUUGGUAUAUGGAGUUUAUAGUAAUAAUCCGAUGCAUAAGCCUUUCUAAAUUAAUUCAACUUGUCUGAAUUUUACUUUCCUCUCUUCUCUCGUGCUUAAGUUCCUUGCUUGUGCUUAGUAUGAUGUGGAAGAGAGUUGAUGCCCGCCAAGUUCCAACUUUGAAGGAUGUGAGUAUAAUUUUACCUAAACCAAGCACUCCAAGUAGCAUAUCCCGAAUGAGAUGAUGUAUUUUUUCUUCUUCUAGCAUCGUCGAUUACCAGCUUGUGUUUCAAAAAGCACAGAUAGGUGACUACCUUUGAAACCCACUGAAGCAUCUACAGGAACUUGUCUGAUUAUUUUGCUUUUAGUUUAUUGCACUCAUGGAAUGCGAAAGAUCUAAAUCAACCAGUUUGCAAGUUCAAUAUUCAUUGUUUCACAAUUUUAAAUUCUACUAUGUGAAAACUCCAAAAUAUUGUCUUAACUAUUUUCAUUCAGGAUGGUGACCAGAUAAGGAAGCAAUUUUUGAUACACCUAUUCAACUACAUCAACAUUCGGGAUGUUUACGAGAAUUGAUUAGCCUUAUUAGGAAUUACCAGGAUAAGUUUUUGGCUCUCUGCAUACAAUGAGUCGAUGAUGUAUUAAAGUGUUUUCUUGAUUUGUAAUAGUACUUUUUAGUGCAAUCAAAAUAUCUGUAUGUGUGUUAAUUCUUACAUAUGUUUAUGUUAGUCGAUAGGUGCAUUUGCACAUGCACGCUUACUAGUUAGUAUAAGGAAACAUCAGCCUUAAAACAUAGCAAAACUUCUCACCUCGUGGGGAAGUCAAAAUAACUCCAGCCCCCGAUCCCUCUAGCUGCCUAGACCCGUCAAAGUGAAUAGUCCAGUAAGUGUUAUCCGGCUUCUCCUCAGGCGUUUACUAUUCUGUCCAGUCAUUGAUGA